rnacentral:rRNA from 1 species
UACGAAGGGGGCUAGCGUUGCUCGGAAUCACUGGGCGUAAAGGGCGCGUAGGCGGCGUUUUAAGUCGGGGGUGAAAGCCUGUGGCUCAACCACAGAAUGGCCUUCGAUACUGGGACGCUUGAGUAUGGUAGAGGUAGUGGUGAACUGCGAGUGUAGAGGUGAAAAUUCGUAGAUAUUCGCAAGAACACCAGUGGCGAAGGCGGCUCACUGGCCCGAUACUGACGCUGAGGCACGAAAGCUAGGGGAGCAAACAGGG